rnacentral:rRNA from 1 species
UCCCGCCUGCCCANNGACUCUUUAAACGGCCGCGGUAUCCUAACCGUGCAAAGGUAGCAUAAUCACUUGUCCCCUAAAUAGGGACUAGAAUGAACGGCUAAAUGAGGACAAAACUGUCUCUUACGGAUUAGCCAAUGAAAUUGAUCUUCUAGUACAAAAGCUGGAAUAAACCCAUAAGACGAGAAGACCCUGUGGAGCUUUAAAACCAAAACCACCAAACAUGAUUCUUGGUUUUUUAGUUGGGGCGACUUUGGAGCAAAAAAAACCCUCCAAAACAUAAACCGUUUAUUAAGAAUAACACGCCAAAAAUAGCUUUAUAGACCCAGCAACAUUUUUGUUGUCUGAUCAACGAACCAAGUUACCCCAGGGAUAACAGCGCCAUCCUCUUCUAGAGUCCAUAUCGACAAGAGGGUUUACGACCUCGAUGUUGGAUCAGGACACCCCUAUAGUGCAGCCGCUAUAAAAGGUUCGUUUGUUCAACGAUUAAAGUCCUACGUGAUCU